CCUACGGGUGGCAGCAGUGGGGAAUAUUGGACAAUGGGCGAAAGCCUGAUCCAGCCAUGCCGCGUGUGUGAAGAAGGCCUUCGGGUUGUAAAGCACUUUUAGUGGGGAAGAAAGCCUUGGGGCUAAUACCCUCGAGGAAGGACAUCACCUACAGAAGAAGCACCGGCUAACUCCGUGCCAGCAGCCGCGGUAAUACGGAGGGUGCGAGCGUUAAUCGGAAUUACUGGGCGUAAAGCGCGCGUAGGCGGUCUGAUAAGCCGGUUGUGAAAGCCCCGGGCUCAACCUGGGAACGGCAUCCGGAACUGUCAGGCUAGAGUGCAGGAGAGGAAGGUAGAAUUCCCGGUGUAGCGGUGAAAUGCGUAGAGAUCGGGAGGAAUACCAGUGGCGAAGGCGGCCUUCUGGACUGACACUGACGCUGAGGUGCGAAAGCGUGGGUAGCAAACAGGAUUAGAUACCCCGGUAGUC
rnacentral:rRNA from 1 species